GUCACUGCCGCACCCAGGAAUAGGAUGUGAAGGCUUGCUCAAUAAUAAGAGUUGUGGACCUCCCAAAAAUAGAAACAGUCCAUACUGGAACAGACUCAUGGAAUCACAGAGUUUUUAGGCUUGGAAGGAACCUCUGGAGAUCAACUUGUCCAACCUCUCCUGCCAAGGCAGGGUCAUCUGGAGCAGGUGACAUAGGAAAUGCAUCCAGUUUAUGGCCAUUGCUCCUUGUCCUGUCACUGGGCACCACUGACAAGAGUCUGGCACCAUCCUCUUGGCAUCCUCCAUGGAAAUAUUUGUAUGGAUUAUUGAGACCUCAUCUCAGUCUUCUCCAGACUAAACAGACCCAGCUACCACAGUCUCUCCUCAUAAGAGAUGCUCUAGAACCCUCAUCAUCUUUGUGGCAUUUGCUGGACCCUCUCCAGUAUCUGCAUGUCUUUCUUGUCCUGAGGAGCCCAGAACUGGACACAGUCACACUUUUCUGUGAAGUGUGCUGCUUUUGAACUGUGGGCUGAGAUCCAAAACUGCACAAACCAAAAGGUCCCAGAUUUGCA